rnacentral:lncRNA from 1 species
CUCAAGGGGCUUACACUCUGGGAAGAUAGGUAACAUUGAAUAAAUGGCAAGAAACCAAUAUGUGAUUACAGAUCAUUGAUAAGUGCUGCAAAGGAAAACAAGAGGACUCUAUGAAGGAGAAUUACCAGGUAGAGGCUGCCUACUUUAGAUAGUGGUCAGGGAUGGUUUCUCUGAGAAGAGACAUUUAAGCUAGAACCUGAAGGAUGACAUAAAGCAGAGUCCAAUGUGAGUCAGGCAUCUCUCCUGGUGGCUGUCUUCCAUGUGGUGACUUAUGUAUCCAGGAUCCUUCUACUGUGUUUCUCCUCCAUUGCGAAGUCCUUCACUUCCAGCACCUGAGACAUUUUUUGGGUAUAUCUACAAGUGGCAUAUAUCACUUCUGCCCACAUUCACCUGGGUAGAACUCAAUCACAUUGUUUCACCUAACUGCAAGUGAGGCUGUGGAAUAUAGUCUCCCUAUGUGCCCAAGCAGAAGAAACAGGAUUGUGUGACUCUACAAUGUGUGAUUGCUCCUGGUGAAUCAAAAGGAUAAAGCUGCUGAUUCUGCAAUUUGAUAACCCAACCAUGCUGACCUCAAAGUGUAGUCAAUCCAUGAAGUUCCUCCCACCACAGCUCAUCCUGAACACUGCCCACCUGAGUCAUCAAGAAAGGUUUAAGUACAUUAUCUGUGCUCUGUUUAAUAUGUCCGUGAAGUGUGUCCUAAAUUUAGUUAUUUCUAGGACCUCUUUCUAGUUUGCAAGUAAGCCAGGUUCUACUGCUGUCAAGUGUUACUCAUGGCUAACUGAGGAAAAGGGGUUCAAAAACAUUGAGAAGACGAAAAGGAGGGAGAAGGCUGGGUUAAUGGGGACGGAGGUAAGGGGUGAGACCCCGGCUAAACAGUGAAGAUAAAAACAGACAUGUAAAUGAGAGAACCGGAAGAGAAGGUAAUGGUGAAAGUCAAUACGGGAAGGAAAGGGGUUGUAGGGGACAAACACUGAGAGGGCAAGAACUUGGAGUAGGUGAAACUAAGGUGAGCGAGGAGGCUGAAGAGAGGUCAGCUGCAGCGGGAAAGAGGGAAGGGCCCUUUAAGAGACACAUCAAGCCGCAGGUGUGGGCCACGAGGCUGGCGCAGGGCUGUCGCUUCACGCGCCGCAGACUCAUCCAGAAGCGCCUUGGGAGCUGCGGAGCCCUAGAGCCUCCAUCCGGGCAGCAAAGCAGCUCACGUGUCCCACCCGGGAAGGGCAGGAGUGGGCGAGGAAUGGUGGAGGGAAAGGAGGGAAAGCGGAGAAACAGGAGGGAGGGGGAAAGCUGCCGCUGCAGAAAAGAAACGAGUAAGCCCCUUUGUGCUUGGCCUGCGAGGUGUUUCCUUCCCGAGCAGACUUGAAGCUGUCACCUCUCAGUCUGGGUUUGGAAUAAAUACACUCGCCCACCGAGAGAUGAGGCGGCGCCUGGCCGCACCUGGGAGGUACCUGGUCGCACCUGGAAGUGCCUGGUCUCCCCUGGCAGGUACCUGGCC